rnacentral:rRNA from 1 species
CCGACGGUGAGAGGUGAAGCUGGGGGCGCAAACCGGAUUAGAGACCCGGGUAGUCCCAGCAGUAAACGAUGCCAGCUAUGUGUUGCUGGAACCAUGGGUUCCAGCAGUGCCGAAGGGAAGCCGUGAAGCUGGCCACCUGGGAAGUACGGUCGCAAGGCUGAAACUUAAAGGAAUUGGCGGGGGAGUACCAGAACCGGUGGAGCCUGCGGUUUAAUUGGAUACAACGCCGGGAAUCUUACCGGAGGGGACAGCAGUAUGAAGGCCAGGCUAAAGACCUUGCCAGAUCAGCUGAGAGGAGGUGCAUGGCCGUCGCCAGUUCGUACCGUGAGGCAUCCUGUUUAGUCAGGCAACGAUCGAGACCCGCAGUCUUAUUUGCCAGCAUGCCCUUUGGGGUGUAUGGGUACAAUAAGACGACCGCCAGCGCUAAGCUGGAGGAAGGAGCGGGCUACGGUAGGUCAGCAUGCCCCGAAUCCUCCGGGAUACACGCGGGCUACAAUGGUCAGGACAAAAGGUACCGACCUCGAAAGAGUGAGGUAAUCCACAAACCUGAUCUCAGUCCGGAUCGAAGGCUGCAACUCGCCUUCGUGAAGAUGGAAUCGGUAGUAAUCGUGACUCAAAAUGUCACGGUGAAUAUGUCCCUGCUCCUUG